GGUCCGGUAGUUCAAAUGGUUGGAAUACUGGUCUGUCACACCAGAGGUUGUGGGUUCAAGUCCCAUCCGGACCGCAA
rnacentral:tRNA from 1 species